UAGCCUGGCGGGAACUGUCUCCCCAAGCCAAAACCACCUGUAAGACUGCAGGGCAGAGUGAGCUCGGCCCGGCACAAUAAGCAUGAGUCAUGGCGGGGAGGAACUGGCCCAGUUGGAGCGGAAGGUGAUCCGCCCGGCAGCCGAGGCUGUGCACACUCAGAGGGAGUGCAGUCCCUCCCUUUUCCUCUCCUUCCACCUCCAUGCUACAGCCCUAGAUGCAGAGCUGAACCCGUGCAAACGGUGAAGCAGAAGAAAUUUGGGUCCGCCUAUUGUGCUUUUACCGCACUGCGUCCCCCCCCAUCUCUUUUCUGAUCUCUCUUUCUGUUUUUUGUCUCUCUGUUUCCCCACUCAACAUAAACACAAGAGCACACGAACACGCUGUGCGAAAGAUGACAGCCCGAGCCUCUUAAGACUAAAAGGUUACCUAACCCCGUCCUCCCACUGCUGCUUGAAAAAUAUGCUUUAACGCAUAGUGCUGCAAUCACUGCUUAGAACAAGACCAAACAACACUGAGGCCAUCCCAAGGCACCCUGUUGUCACCUCGCAGGGAAGUUUCUCUCAGCUGUGGCCCAAGCAAGUUAAGGCUUGAGAACAGAGGACAGCUUCCAGUUUUUCUGGGAGAGAUGUCUGCUGUGCUGAUGCUCAGGUGUCUGUGCCUGGGUGGAGAUGCCCUGCCCCUUGCC